rnacentral:rRNA from 1 species
CCUACGGGAGGCUGCAGUGGGGAAUAUUGGACAAUGGGGGAAACCCUGCUCCAGCAAUGCCGCGUGUGUGAAGAAGGCCUGCGGGUUGUAAAGCACUUUCGGUUGGGAAGAAAAGUUUGGCGCCAAUACCGCCGAACCUUGACGUUACUGACAGAAGAAGCACCGGCUAACUCUGUGCCAGCAGCCGCGGUAAUACAGAGGGGACAAGCGUGGAUCGGAAUCACUGGGCGUAAUGCGUCAAUUGGUGUUUGAAAUCCCCGGGCUUAACCUGGGAACUGCAUUCGAUACUACAUGGCUAGAGUAUGGUAGAGGGAAGUGGAAUUUCCGGUGUAGCGGUGAAAUGCGUAGAUAUCGGAAGGAACACCAAUGGCGAAGGCAGCUUCCUGGACUAAUACUGACACUGAGGCACGAAAGCGUGGGUAGCAAACAGGAUUAGAUACCCCAGUAGUC